CUGAGAAGGGGGAGGGAACAGCUGCUGCUUCUAUCAGCUCAUUUAGAAUUUGCCUAGUGACUUUUAUUUCACUGAGUAUUUUAGAGGGAGAUUCUUCUUUCUGACUCUCAAAAUGGUUAUCAAAGUUUUUAUUGCCACAUCUUCUGGGUCCAUAGCGAUUAGGAAGAAACAGCAAGAAGUGGUGGGCUUUUUGGAAGCCAAUAAAAUUGACUUUAAGGAAUUUGAUAUUGCUGGUGAUGAAGACAACAGGAGAUGGAUGAGAGAGAAUGUACCUGGAGAGAAAAAACCACAAAAUGGGAUUCCUCUUCCUCCACAGAUCUUUAAUGAGGAGCAGUAUUGUGGGGAUUUUGAAUCUUUCUUCUCUGCAAAAGAAGAAAAUAUUAUAUAUUCAUUUCUUGGUUUGGCACCUCCUCCAGGCUCAAAGGUGACAGAAACAACUGAGGAAACAUCAACUGUUCCGAAUGGUGAACUUGUGGAAGGGGAACAGAAUACUGCAGAAGGAACAGACAGUGCUGAAGUAAGUGAUAAAAAUGAGGUGCCAAAAGAAGGCACAGAAGAUGUAGACAAUACUCCUGAAUCAGAAGUAAAACAGGAGGGGACUACAGAAGAGGAAGAAAAAGAGGAAGCAGAAGAGGAGGAAAAAGAGGAAGCUGAAGAGGAAGAAAAAGAGGAAGCACAAGAGAACGAAGAGGCAGAAGAUUCUUAGUUCUUUUCAUGCUUCAUUUAUUCAAGUUUCUCAGCUUGACAGAGAAGAAAGAAAGAGACUCUCUUAAAAGCAAACAUUAAAGACAGGCUCCAGACAGAGUCUAAAAACAAACAAGCCAAAAAGCAAUAGUCCCUGCUCUCAAGAAGCCUACAUUUUAUUUGAAGAAACAUGUAUACAUAUUAGAAUAAAACUCAUUGCAAGAAGUGAAGGACAAGCCAUACCACAGUAUUUCAUCAAUAUUGUCCCAGGAAAAUAAAUUGGCCUGAGGUUUAGAGACAUUUCUUAACAUAUCAGUACUACAUUGAGGAGUUGCUGUGCUAUUUAUAUGGGUAGGUGUAUAUUGUCUAUCUGCAUAUGAAAGGAAAUAUGGAUAUAUUCACAUUACUUUAUAUUUGGUUCAAAUAGAUAUGUUUACUAUGAAAGAGCACCCUUAAUAUUACUCUGAAAAUUUUAUUCCAAAGUGUGAAACUAGCUCAAAUUCAGCCCAAGAGAUUUUAAGGAUGUUCCCUGUACCUGUGCUUUAUGCUGCUUCUGUCAGAACAAUUUUGAGCAUGUUAUUGUGUACAACAGUCUAAAUAAAAGCUUUCAAUGUAAAAUCA